rnacentral:rRNA from 1 species
GAUGAACGCUGGCGGCGUGCCUAACACAUGCAAGUCGAGCGAACGGACGAGACGCUUGCUUCUCUGAUGUUAGCGGCGGACGGGUGAGUAACACGUGGAUAACCCACCUAUCAGACUGGGAUAACUUCGGGAAACCGGAGCUAAUACCGGAUAAUAUUUUGAACCGCAUGGUUCAAAAGUGAAAGACGGUCUUGCUGUCACUUAUAGAUGGAUCCGCGCUGCAUUAGCUAGUUGGUACGGUAACGGCUUACCAAGGCAACGAUGCAUAGCCGACCUGAAAGGGUGAUCGGCCACACUGGAACUGAGACACGGUCCAGACUCCUACGGGAGGCAGCAGUAGGGAAUCUUCCGCAAUGGGCGAAAGCCUGACGGAGCAACGCCGCGUGAGUGAUGAAGGCCUUCGGAUCGUAAAACUCUGUUAUUGGGGAAGAACAUAUGUGUAAGUAACUGUGCACAUCUUGACGGUACCUAAUCAGAAAGCCACGGCUAACUACGUG